CACCGUUUCAGUGGCAUUUAAAUCCCCGGCGCUCCUCCAGUCUAGGUGACGCGCAGUCGCCCCCCCAGGCGGCCCAGGCGGCGGCAGCUGCUGCGGCGGCUGCAAGGGCAGAUUCGGAGCGCUGGG
ensembl:misc_RNA